rnacentral:rRNA from 1 species
AUUGAACGCUGGCGGCAGGCUUAACACAUGCAAGUCGAGCGGGGGAAGGUAGCUUGCUACUGGACCUAGCGGCGGACGGGUGAGUAAUGCUUAGGAAUCUGCCUAUUAGUGGGGGACAACAUCUCGAAAGGGAUGCUAAUACCGCAUACGUCCUACGGGAGAAAGCAGGGGAUCUUCGGACCUUGCGCUAAUAGAUGAGCCUAAGUCGGAUUAGCGAGUUGGUGGGGUAAAGGCCUACCAAGGCGACGAUCUGUAGCGGGUCUGAGAGGAUGAUCCGCCACACUGGGACUGAGACACGGCCCAGACUCCUACGGGAGGCAGCAGUGGGGAAUAUUGGACAAUGGGGGGAACCUUGAUCCAGCCAUGCCGCGUGUGUGAAGAAGGCCUUAUGGUUGUAAAGCACUUUAAGCGAGGAGGAGGCUACUUUAGUUAAUACCUAGAGAUAGUGGACGUUACUCGCAGAAUAAGCACCGGCUAACUCUGUGCCAGCAGCCGCCGUAA